UUUUAUUACAUUUUAACUAUGUAUUUUUUAUUACAAAAAUUUAUGGUGCAAAUUUAUUGUUAAACUCUGACGGAAAAUUGUGCAAGCGAAACCUGCAAAACCUUUUGAUGCGGAGUUAUUAAAUUUUGGGCGAAAAUUGUAAAAUUAAAAAAUUUUAUUGCUCCCCGUAUCAGCGAGCGGCAGCAGCACUGACGCUGCAGAGGUCGUUAUUAAUUUCUGACGUCGGAAACUUGUUAUGCUCCAACAUCGGAACUUCACAGUAUUCUCUGUUAUGCAGAAUUAACGUGGUGCCGCGCAUAGCGCGGCCGUCCAGCUGUUUGCCCACCACCAAAAUCGAUUCUAGUCCCUGCGUUCUCUCCGCGAAACUGAAACAUGUUCGCGUCUAGUUCGACCUAUCGCGCGCGCCAAGAGAACGGCCAACUUGUUUUCGACGAGCUCAUCGACGUGGCCAGAGAGAGAGAAAAAGAGCGAGCAAGAGAGAGUGAGAAAGAGAGAGAGAGAGAGAGAGAAAGCGGGGAUGGAUCACGAACGCUGUAGAAGGGAUACACACAACGCUUGGCCCUGUUUACUCCCUCCCGCGUACGGCAUACGUUUUCCUUCCCCUCCUCGCGCACGUCGUUGCCCUCACCACCACCGCGGCACCGAAGUUCUCCCUCACCGGAGGAGCAGCAACGUCAACCGCCGAUGCCAGCGGGAACCUCCUCCAGUCGCCAUCGGCGUUUCUGAUAUAUACCGAGUGGCUCCUUCAUCGCGUCCUCACUUCAUCACCGACCGGCCCUUUGUUUAUCAAUGGAGAGCUCGUGUUCACGUUUACGCACGCACGCUUACCCGCGACGAUCACGCAUCACCGCCACGCACGCGCGGGGCUAUCGCGAGCCUGAGACACGCGACCACGAAGAGGAGCCACCCUGCUCGCCGCACCUCGGGUCGCCCCGCGACCGUGUCGUCGUCAAGGUCACCAUCGCGAGACCGAGUCGAAACAUUGCCACCGAGUAGAUCCACGCGGGGAAAGUCGAUCAACUUCGUGGAGGAAGAAUCUUCGCUCCGCAAACAGAGAGAAAGAGAGAGAGGAGGAUCGACGCAGAUCCUCGGGAAAACAAAGCUCUCGGGGCAGGAGACCUGUUCUGAAGAGCAUGCCAUGUUGCUGCGAGGAAGAAUGCUCUAAGAGUUUGAUUCUGUAAGAGGCGAGAGUCCUUUUAGAGAGACGAAUUUCUGGUUAAAAUAAGGAGAGACACUUUGAGAGGUCUUAGAGAAAAUUGAUACAUGCCGAGGAUCUUCUAAAGGACCCCGUAGAAUAGGAGAGCGAGUAUCCUUGAAGAGAGAACGUGCUCUCUGAGAAUGUCCUUUUAGAAAAAAAAGGGAAAACCUGAAAAAGUGAGCGAGCCAUUUGUCUUGAACAAAGAAGUCUAUCCACAAGAUUAUUUCCAUUUCCAUGCUCCGAAGACGUGAUCCUAGAAUCAAUCCUUGAAGAAUAGACGUUUUAAAAUGUAUCAAAGCUAAAGGAAGACUCUAUGGCUUCUCUCGCCAAAAUUCAAGCAGAAUUCUAAAACGGAAAGUCAAGAGACACGGCAGUAGCGCCAAGUAGCGCGAGACCACAUGUGUUUCUUUUAAAUAGUCCUCGCGAAGAAAUUGUUCGUUUGAAGAAUUCAAUUCUGAAACAAGUGACUCUCUCCAGGCCACAUCCGUAUAAUCGUUUAAACCGGCUCCCCAUCCUACGACAAGGCUCAUUAACGUGCUUUAAAUCCACAUGCAAAGAACGUUAAUUACAAGGAAGAAACUCCGUUCGUCUCUUAUCGUGGGGUAGGACGACAACUAAAAAUUCCUCGGGAGGGAGAGUAGAAGGGGAGGAAGACGCAGCGGCGCGCGAGAGAGUUGCGUUCGAGGGAGUAUCCGAUAAAAGAUAGCGCGGCUCCUUCCGUUUCGCCACUCCUCGUAGGGUUCAAAGGGCACGGCGAUGCGGCGAAGGCGUUACGCGCUGCUAGCUGGACAAUAAAGCCGACGGAACAGCGUCGGAUCAGCUCAGUCGGUGCCGCAACGACGACGUCGCGACGUCGGUGUCAAAGUACAGUUCGGCCGUAGCGAGGGAGGUGGAGGAGGCGAGCGCGCGACGACCGAUGACGAUGACGCGAGCGGCAGAGCGUUCCCGGCGGUGACGGCGUGCGCGUGUGUUUCCCUCGCGACGUGAUCCAAUUCCAUCGCGCGAGGACUCGGAAUCCCGAGGACCGAGGAAGGGAAGACACAUCCCGGGCGGACUUUUCCUUCGGAACGAAGUCCCUCUGUGAUCUCUCGAGAGGAGAACGGCGGUAAAAAAUUUUCGAGGCCACGCGAGAAGAAAUCUCGGACUUUUCCUCGAGUCGGGAAUAAGCGAGCGACUGUUUCCAAAGUCUUCCGCGUUGAGAGGAGAGGAUACGAGGAAGGAAAUUGCAGAAUUUCUUCUCGACAAAUAUAAGUGAGAAACAUUCGAGGACUCUCUAUACGGGUCUUUUGCGACAAGCAGGCUGUGAGAAUUGAUGAGGAGACUUUUGGAAUUUGAACUUCCGGCGACGUAUCGUUCCUUAUUAAGGAGAUACAUUAGACUUCAUCCUGCAUUCAAGGCGCGGAGAAUUUUGAAGAAGACUGAAACAUCUUUUCCGACGUCGUAGAAGCGGGAGAGAAAUCGAGAGAGCCCCCAAUUUCCUGCUGCAUCAAGAAAAUUACACAUUUCAGAGAUAUUGGAUUGUCCGCGACGUGCGCCGCGACAGACUUUGAAUUUCAUCAUCCUGUGAUUGCGGGAGAGGAGGAGAAGGAGGAGGGCAAAACCUCCCCCCCCCCGUCCCUGGACAGUCUUCGGUCUGGGCGAAUUGCAAAUUAGCUGUGGCUUCAGUUGCAUUUUUCAUCUCAUUGCGAUUUUUCCGGCGAGUUCUCAGACGAUCCGUUUGCGAACUUUUCUCUCGCGAGAGGAAUCGCGAUCGUUUCUCCUUUUUCUUUCGUGAAUGAACCACGCGGCAGCCUCGUGCGAGUAAAAAGAGAGAGAAAGAGAGAGAGAGAGAGAGAAAGAGGGGAGGGUGGGGUAGAGAGGAGAGGGAGAAAGUGGGAGUUCUCAAGAGAUUUAACGCGAAUCCCUCGGACCUUUGGUAGGAUCUAGUGGAGGCGGCACAAGUGCAAGAGAGAAUCGUACUGUUGCAACGUGCGGCAGGGAUCGUGUGAUGGUGGUGGUGGUGCGCAGCAGCAGCUGACAGACGGCCGGGGACACGAGA